rnacentral:lncRNA from 1 species
CGUUCCAUUAGCAGAGCCCCAGCCCUGCCAAAAGGGAGGGAGAAAUCCCUUCAGUCCGUGCAGAGGAAGCUCGAGCUUAUUGUUUCCUGCCAGGGCCGGGGCUGUGUUUUAUGAAACACCUGCGAUGGAAAACACGAGCACAGACCCGUGAGGCCAUCCCUGAGGACGUGGCCCCGCGCCGCGGUUGGGGGCUCUGUGCCACGCUCCGUGCCGCCGUGCCCGCCCUCUUUCAAAAAAAUUAAAAGAAAGUGGAGACAGAAGUGUCACCAUCCAGCAGCAGGGGAUGUGGACAUCUGGGGGAGGAGAGCAUCAUGCAGAAGGUAGGUAGGACAUGCCCUGAGCCAACCAGAGCCCCAAAGCCCCCAUGGCUUUGCCCUGGCUCACACAUUACAAGGCAAACGGCAGCACAGGGAUAAGGGCAGGGAUUGAGCACCUGCUCUGAGGAUCCAUCAAAACCUCAAGCAAAGGAGGGAG